GCUACUACCGAUGCGCCAAAGUUAAAUGCCGUGACCUGUUCAGUCGUCACUUUGAUGAACGAGCAGCAUUUUUCUUCUUUCCGGCGCUUCUCUUUUUAUGUGUUUUGAUAACGCUUCCCCGAAACACUUGCUA
ensembl:ncRNA C11G10.10 ncRNA